UACUAGAGUAGCACUCGCAUAUCAAUAAGCGGAGGAAAAGAAGCUAACAAGGAUUCCCCUAGUAACGGCGAGUGGAGCGGGAAGAGCUCAAAUUUGAAAUCUUAAAGGGUUUCCCUUUACGAAUUGUAGUUUAAAGAAGUGGUUUCUGUUGAGGUUUUGGUAAAAGUUCUUUGGAAUAGGACAUCAUAGAGGGUGAGAAUCCCGUAUUUGACCUUUACUUUCAACUUUGUGAUACACUUUCAAAGAGUCGGAUUGUUUGGGAAUGCAGUCCAAAAUGGGUGGUAAAUUUCAUCUAAAGCUAAAUAUUGGCGAGAGACCGAUAGCGAACAAGUACCGUGAGGGAAAGAUGAAAAGAACUUUGAAAAGAGAGUUAAACAGUACGUGAAAUUGUCAAAAGGGAAGCGUUUGACACCAGUGUUGUUUUUCUGAAAAUCAAUUAAAGAACUGUUUAUGCUAAGCUGUUUAGACUUUAUCAGCUAUCUGUUUAGUUUUGAGCUUUUCUUUAAUGCACUUUUCAGUUAACAAGUCAACAUCAAUUUCUUUUGCUGUAAAAAAGCUUGAGGAAGGUGGCUUGAGAUUCGUCUUAAGUGUUUAUAGCCUCUUGCCUAUGCAGUCGGAGAGAUUGAGGUCUGCAGCGUAGAUCCUUCGGGGCUAAAUGCAUUUGUGCUAAGUUAUAGCAUUUUAUAGACAACUUGUUGACUAUGAUUUGUCUUGUAGCUUACUCGCUUAUGUUAUUUUACCUACGCUUAGGAUGUUGAUCUACAGAGCGAGAGU
rnacentral:rRNA from 1 species